rnacentral:rRNA from 1 species
AUUGAACGCUGGCGGCAUGCCUUACACAUGCAAGUCGAACGGUAACAGGUCUUCGGAUGCUGACGAGUGGCGAACGGGUGAGUAAUACAUCGGAACGUGCCUAGUAGUGGGGGAUAACUACUCGAAAGAGUGGCUAAUACCGCACGAGAUCUACGGAUGAAAGCAGGGGAUCGCAAGACCUUGUGCUACUAGAGCGGCCGAUGGCAGAUUAGGUAGUUGGUGGGAUAAAAGCUUACCAAGCCGACGAUCUGUAGCUGGUCUAAGAGGACGAUCAGCCACACUGGGACUGAGACACGGCCCAGACUCGUACGGGAGGCAGCAGUGGGGAAUUUUGGACAAUGGGCGAAAGCCUGAUCCAGCAAUGCCGCGUGCAGGAUGAAGGCCUUCGGGUUGUAAACUGCUUUUGUACGGAACGAAAAGCCCCGGGUUAAUACCCUGGGGUCAUGACGGUACCGUAAGAAUAAGCACCGGCUAACUACGUGCCAGCCGCCGCCGUAA